ensembl:lncRNA
CUGAACUGGGACCUGCUGGUCAAACUGCAUAGCAAGAAGGAAAUGCACACACAGUAGAACCAGGGACAGAUACCAUGAGAAGAAUAUAAGGAAGCUGCUUAGGCUAUGUAGAGAUGGGGUCAGGAAAGCCAAAGCCCAGCUUGACCUGAGCUUGUCAAGGGGUGCCAAAAAGAACAAUAAAGGCUUCUACAGAUACCUCAACCAGAAAAGGAAAGUCCAAGGGGGUGUAACCCCUUCAGUGAGUGACAAAGGCAAGCUGGUAACAACAGACAAGAAAAAGUCUGAGAUACUCAACAACUUUUUUGCCUUGAUCUUCUCUGAUAACUGCUCAUCACACAGCCCUCAAAUUAAUGGUUUGGAAGGAGGGGACUGGGGAAGCAAUGCUGUGAGUGAAGAUCAGGUUUGUAAUCACUCAAGGAAGAGGAAUAUCCACGAGUCUAUGGGUCCUGAUGAGGUGCAUCCCAGUGUGCAGAGGGAAUUAGCUGAUGUAGUCACCAAGACACUCCCAGUGAUAUCUGAAGUCAUGGCAGUCAGAUGAAGUACCUGGUGACUGGAAAAAAGGCAACAUCAUACCCAUUUUUAAAAAGGAUAAAAAGGAUGAGCCAGGGAAUUAUCAACUUGUCAAUAUCACCUGCAUGCUGGGAAAGAUCAUGGAGCAGAUCCUCCUGGAAGCUAUGCUAAAGCACAUAGAAGACAGGGAGGUGGUACAGGAGAACCAGCAUGUCUUCACCAAAAGGCAAGUCCUACUUGACCAACCUAGUGGCCUUCUGUGGUUGUGUAACUGCAUCAGUGGACAAAGAAAGAACCACCGAUGUCAUCUAUUUGGACUUCAGUAAGGCCUAUGUCAUGGCAUCCCACAACAUCUUUAUCUCCAAAUUGGAAAGAUAAUGGAUUUGAUGGAUGGACUGUUCAAUAGAUGAGGAACUUGCUGCAGGAUCAAACCCAGAGAGUGGUGGUCAAUGGAUCAAUGUCUGGAUGGAGAUCUGAGCCGAGUGGUGUCCCUCAGGGGAGUUGGAGCACAUGUCUUUUCAAGGUCCCUUCCAACUCUAAAGAUUCUACGAUUCGAUGAUGUGCAAGCAAGAUCCAAGAUUCUCUGAAAUCAUUGGCAUCCCUUCUGUUGACCUCAUGUGACUUUGGAUUAUACCUUGAAUUUUCAAAGGAGACAGACUUUUAAAACUGUUUGGAGGAUGAAAAGGCCAGACAAAAGUUCCUGCGUGAUGUUUAGGGCUACAUCUUAAUUUUUCCAUUAUGCUUAUCAGCAGUGUAUAUCAUCAGUAGGUAGUGACAGAGACGAAG